rnacentral:misc_RNA from 1 species
UCUCUAAGAUGGCUGCUGAUAUUUUGUCAAUCCCAAUUUCUACUGUUCCUUCUGAUUCUGUAUUUGACACUGGAAGUAAAAGGAUAGAUAGCUACCGGAGUUCACUGCGACCUGUUACACUUGAAGCCCUUAUUUGUGCUAAGGAUUGGCUUCAAUAUGGAUCACCAGCAUCAUCAUUGGAUAAUUCUAAUGCAAUUGUGAAAAUGGAAUAUUAGUUAUAUAGGAUUCAGUUUACAUCCUAUAGCGUAGAUAUUUUGACUUGGAUUUAGGCUUGUGAUCCAUAUUGAAGCCAAUCCUUAGCAC